rnacentral:rRNA from 1 species
UACGUAGGGGGCUAGCGUUGUCCAGAAUCAUUGGGCGUAAAGCGCGCGCAGGCGGUCCCUUAAGUCUGAUGUGAAAGCCCACGGCUCAACCGUGGAGGGUCAUUGGAAACUGGGGGACUUGAGUACAGAAGAGGAAAGCGGAAUUCCACGUGUAGCGGUGAAAUGCGUGAGAGAUGGUGAGGAACACCAGUGGCGAAGGCGGCUCACUGGACCGGUACUGACGCUGAUGACGCGGAAAGCGUGGGGGAGCAAACACGGGG